CCUCCCAAGUAGCUGGGACUACAGGCAUGCACCACCACGCCCGGCUAAUUUUUGUAUUUUUAGUAGAGACAGGGUUUUGCCAUGUUGGCCAGGCUGGUCUUGAACUCCUGAUCUCAAGUGAUCUGCCCACCUCAGCCUCCCAAAGUGUCCUGCAUUCUUAAUAUUGCAGCACACCUGUGCAGUGUCUUCAGUGUCAUCCCAGCCUAAGGAGCACACUUGGGGAGAAGGUGGGGCUAUAAAAAUGUACUCAAGUCCAUUAGAUUUGCAGCAGCUGUGCAAAAAUCUCAUUUUAAAUCCGAAAAUACAUACAAUCUUACAUUUACAUUAAUACAUGAAAGAAAAUAUCACCUUUUCUUCCCUAGAAGGUGAUCAAAAUUUGCCCCAAUUUUGGUUAUUUGUGGAGUCUUCAUUGUUAAGCUGUUUUCCUCCACCUUGAUUAUCAUUUCUAAACUCUGUUAAGAUCUCAUUGAACAUUAUUAAUUUGGAAUUCACAAUAAUUCAUAUGUGGGAGUCCAGGUGAGAGCUGUGUUGCCAACUUUCAAUGUGCAGUCAUUUUUGCAAGAGAAUUGCUGGCAGUCCUAGAGAAAUUUGUAAGUGCUUAGAAGAAUACAUGUCAUUUAAUUCAGACUAAUUUGCAAUUGGCACAUUAGUUAUUUAUGACACUGAAAUUCAUGGAGAUUAAGAUUUGAUUAGCUUGUUAAUGCUGCAAAACAGUUAAAAUUUUAGAAUAAUUAUUUAUUUAUUGUUUGUGAGGCACACUUGUUCCCCUAAUCUGUUCUCUCCUCAUGCAUGUGGCUUACCAGGCAGCAACUGUUUCCCAGCCCUGCCUCCAGCAAGGCGUGGUCAUGUGACUAAGCUUGGACCAGUGGUUGUGAACAGAGGCAAUGGAUGCAACUUGACUACAGAUCCUCACAACUCUGAGAUAAGCUGCUUUUCUACUCGCUGCCUGUUUUUCCUCUCCCGAGCUGGAAGUAAGGUGCACCAGUGUUACCCAUGCAGAUAAGGACUAUACCUCAGGGAAUGGCAGAGCAAUAGUAUGGGAGGACAUUAGGGAGGAGAGGUGCUCUGCCAACUGGAGCUGACUGGACUGUUAGUGAAAUAAAUUGAAGCCAUUGUGUUGUGAUGUUUUAGUUACAGUAACCUAGUUUAUAAUCUGAUAGAGUAAAAAUCCAUGAUAAUGCUAAUAUGACCUGGCAUAAUUCAAAUGUAGGUGGAAUUGGCAAUUGCUGUUUCUUAUCUUCCCUUUGCCCCUGUUCUCAAUCUGAAGUGGGCUAAUUUUUUUUUUUUUAUUCGAUGGAGUCUCUGUUGCCCAGGCUGGAGUGCAGUGGCACAAUCUUGGCUCACUGCAACCUCUGCCUCCUGGGUUCAAGUGAUUCUCCUGCCUCAGCCUCCCAAGUAGCUGGGAUUGCAGGCGCCCAUCACCAUGCCCAGCUAACUUCUGUAUAUUUAGUGGGGACAGGGUUUCACCAUGUUGACCAGUCUGGUCUCGAACUCCUGACCUCAGGUGAGCCUGCCUCAGAGUGCUGGGAUUACAGGUGUGAGCCACCACCCCCAGCUAGAAGUGGGCUAAAUUCUUACACAGGGUUGGUUUUGGGGACAGUUAGGAAGUGCUUGCUUCAUGAUCAUUCGGGACUUUCUCAGGUCAAUAUUUUCAAUAUUGUCCCUUUUAUUAAUUUAUUUUGGAGACCAUACAGACAGAAAAAUAAUAUUUUUCUUUCCCUCAUAUGGCAACUUCACAACAUGCCCGCUAAUUCUUUUACAUUCCUUCCCUGGAGAGGUAGGGUCUGUCUCCCCUUGAUGUUGGGCUGCUCUUUAUUACUUGUUCAUAUCCAAUUAAAUGCAGCAGAAGUACAAUUCAGCUCCCAGUUGGCUUCCUUGGACUCUUGACCAGUGUAAGGAGUCUGACUCCCCCAGGAAGUCAUGCUAUGUAGGAUCCCAGGCCAUAUGGAGAGAUCACAUGUAGGCUCUCUGUUUGAUGUCCCAGCUAAAGUCUCAGUCAACAUCUAGCACCAAUUUCCAGCAUCUGAGGGCACCAUCUUGCAUGUCCAGCCCAGUUGAGCCUUCAGAUGACUGCUGCCCCCACCAACUCAUGGCAAUCCUGGAACAAUAGUAUGGAUAGUUCUUGCCCAAGCAAGAACUAUCUAGAAGAGGCCUUCCAAAAUUCGUGACCCAUAGAAUCCAUGAGCAUAAUGAAAUAGUUUUACAACACUAACUUUAGGCAGCAAUAGUACCUGGAACACCUCACUAUUACACCAUCACACAUGUUACAUGGUUGAAUCUUGGAUUCCACUUAAACAUCUUGUGGUGGAGCUUUCCCGUCAAUGUUGUUUUAAGGGCAAGGACUUUACAUACAUUAUAAUACCUUAUUUAAUCAUCACAGCACACCUAAGAUGUAGAUACAAUUAUUAUUCCCGCUUUACAGCUCAGGAAUAUUGGGCGUAACCGCCCAAGGUCACACUGCUCUUAAUUACUGUGCUUUCUAUUGUCAGUGCUGGAAAAUGAGAGGCUUCAGGAGUCAGAAUUUUAGACUUUCAUGACAUACUUGAACUGACCUCGGUCAAUUCCCUCCUAUUGUGGUUACACAGCAGAAUCUGGGCAUAAGGAAAUUCAGCCAUGGUAUGCAUUAGUAAUUGACAGAGUAAGGUAGAAACAUAUUUCUCUAAGUGUGUGUGCUAGCCACUGUGCUGCUCUGCAAAGUCAAACCGUUUUCAACUCCUUAAAAAAUUAUUUGGUAUAAACUGUUAUUUACUGAGUAAGCAUGAUGCAUUUCUUUAGAGGAAAAGAAUGAAUCUAUAUUUAGCAUAUACCUAAACCUAUAUUAAAAGCAUUAAAACUAUAUUCAAGAAUACAUUUAUUUAAGAAUCUGUGCUUUAAAAAAACCUACAUUUUUGAUUUCAUUGAAUAAGACUUCUAAGUUGUGAAUUGAAAGCAUUCUGUUUUAUUAUUAAUCACCACGUUUGGUGUUCCAAUCUCAUAUACCAUUCUUACUUGGGGUAACGUGUCUCAGACAUGUUGCCCAACCCUAGUUUACUCAUUUUCUAAACAGCAUCGGCAAAUGUGGAAAAUGAGACUACUUAUAAAGGUGAGAGAUUUUAGCUUUUCUAAAAAGAUUUUUGUAAUGCUUAGUGCCAGAGAAUGAGAAUAUUAAAUUGGCAGUAAAUAGAGUAAAUGGAAACUAUUUUAACAUUUAUGCUUGAAACACGACUUCAGUUCCAAGACAUUUUUUCUUUUUCUAAUUCAAGUAAAUGAAACCUAUUUGGAUAAUUCAGUAAUUUAUUCUUUUUAUUCAUCUUGAAUGUUGGGGGGAUUUUCCCUAGAAAUAAACACAAAUAUAUAGAGUAGGUAACAAUUCAGUAACAUAAAAUCUAAAACAAAGAGCUUAUUCAGUGAUGGAUAUUGUUGUAUGUGAUUUACAUGUGCAAACUCAUUAAGUCCUCACCACAACUCUAGGAGGUAGAUAAUAUAUUGUCCCCAUUUUGUAGGUGGGGAAACUAAGGCAUAAAGAAACUUCCAUAGUUACUAAGUAGCAAAAUUGGGGUAUGAAUUCAGGUAGUUAGGAUUCUAGGUCUGCACUCUUAACACUGCACUAGCAGUUCUUAAAUUUUUGGGCCUCAGAUCCCUUUCACACUCUUUAAAGUACUGAGGACUCUGAUGAGCUUCGUUUUUGUUGGUUGCAUUUAUUGAUAUAUAUAUGGUAUUAGAAAUUAAGAAGGAGAAAAUUAAAAAAUGUUUAACUCAUUUAAAAGUGAUAAAACCAUUGCAUGUUAACCUUAAUAUAUUUUUAUAAAAAACAACGAUGUUUCCUUAAAAAAAAAAAACUAUAGUGAGAUGAGUGGGUUUUUUUUUUGUUACAUUUUUGCAAAUUUCUUUAAUGUCCAGCUUAACAGGAAACAACUGGAUUUUCAUAUCUGCUUCUGCAUUCAAUCUGUUGUAUAAUACAUGUCACGCCAACCCUGGAAACUCCAUAGUCUUCUGAUAGGAGAACAAAGGCGAAACAGGCAAAUAACAUAUAAUUAUUAUUACAAAAAAUGCUUUGGCUUUGCAAAGCCCCUGAAAGGGUCUUAGGGACAUCCAGCCAUCCUGGGAUCAUACUUUGAGAAUUAUGGCACUACACUUUACCGCCUGUGAGUACACAGGGAGAAUGUCUUGGUUGAAUUUUAAGUGUCCCUUAAGAAACAGUGUUUCUUCAAGUAAAUCCCAGCCUGCUGUGGUAGAAGGAGCAGAGGCUGAGUAGCCAGAGACUGGGGUGCAACCCUAGUUCUGCGCAUGGGAGUUCUUGACCUUCACUAAGUUCUCUCCAUCUCAGGUUCCUUAUCUUUAAAAUGAGGCUCAUUACCAGUCCCUUCCAGGGUCAUCCCAGGCUUUCCAAAAAAUAUGUGAUAAGGUGCCUAACAGGUGCUGACACAAAAGGAUGUCUGACCAAGUGUAGUUUUUAUUUCAGAUAGACUAAUGAUGGCCAGGGAGGAAGGAGAGGGGCCACGACCAGCAAAAAGGGAAGGAGAAGAGAGCCACCAAGGACAGAUCCACAGACUCUCAGCUAGAAGCCUUUCAAGCCAGGUGUUUAGAGACUCAGAUGUUCGGACUUUUAGGAAUUUAUUGGGGUGCAUAUACUGUAGAUACUGUCAGACCUCCAUAAGACUUGGAGGACCAUCUGAUAAUCAAACACAUUUAUACUUCUAGAGAGGGACGUAUUCCACUCAUACCGAGGCCUAGAAAUAGCCUUCUGUCUGGCCAGGUUUUGAUGCCAAAGGAUUUACAAAAAAUAUUUCAGUGUUCAGAACUCCGGGAUUUGGGACUGUAGAUGAGGAAUUGUGGACCUUAUUGGGCUUCUGUGCCAGCACCAAGCUAGGGAUUGUGCCCACGCCCUUUCAUUUCAUCCUUUCAACUCCAUGAGCCAGAAGCAAACAUCUAAGGAUCUAGAGAGAUCUUUGCCUAGUAUUUGCCUUGCAAUCAACUUUAGAGGACCUCAGGGUUGGAGCAGUGGCUUCUGGCUUUCUGAUUAUGGCUGUUGCCUGCAAUUUAAAGUCCUAAUGUUCAUUUUGUUUGAAGAGGGAUGGAGGAGGAGUUAGACACAUGGAGUGUGUGUGUGUGUGUGUGUGUGUGUGUGUGUGUGUAUGUGUUUCAAGAUGAACUCAAUAGCAUCAACAAAUAUCUUAAUGAGGGUACAGAAAGUUUAUAUUUAACUUGUUGAAAAUUCACCUAGCUAUGAGCCUAAUUUCCUGAAGAAUAAAUGUAAGGUGAGAUGAUAUGUUUUGGAUACCGAUAAGAUCCAUUACCUGCUACGUUUAUAGGGAUAGAAAUUGAACAAAUGGCAACAUUUCAAAAUCUGCCAAAAAGAGCCCCAACUGAUUGUUUUCAUGUUUAUAAUCUCCAACUUACAGAAUUUCACAGAGGAACAAGCCGUAAAGUUGCCUGAAGAUAAGUCCUGGCUAUGAAUUAAUGUUGAACAACAUGAAAAGAUUACAGGUACUUGGAAAUAAACUUCUGAGGAACUCAUCAGAAUUUCAAAUUAUGCAAGUAUUAUGAUAAUACUUGAGAAUCUCAAAAUCAUUUCAACUAUCAAUUUCUGUGGGAUUUUAUAAUAAUUUGCAGCUUCAAUGACAAAAUAAUUUAAAAUAAUGUUUUCUAACUCUACCUACACAAUUAUUCUGACUUUAUAGGAAAUAAAUUGCAUUUAUUUGGACAUCUGUACAUGUCACACACAUUAAUAGGUAUUUUGUUGAUUCCAACUUAAAUACUUAUAUAUUUCAAAAUUGUAACCUCUUUAAGUUUGUCACUGUCACAAACUUGGCUUCAUGGUACUUCAAAUGUCCUCUCCCCAGCCAAAAAGCAGAAAAUGUUGUCUGUUAAAAGGCAGGGAAGUAGAAAAAUAACUUUUUAUAAUACCUGUCUCCAGUUAAGUAGAUAUGGAUGCUCUAGUGAGUUGAGAGGACUUGAUUUUUCUCCUUUCUCCUCCCCUCCCCUCCCCUCCUCUCCCCUUCCCUUCUUCCUUCCUUACGUUCUUCCUUCCUUCCCUUCUUCCUUCCUUCCCUUCUUCCUUCCUUCCUUUAUUCUUUCCUUCCUCUUUCUUGUUAUUUUACCCUUCAAAAGUGGGUUUUAAAGUUUCUAUAUACAAUAAAUCACUGCUACUUUAUUGCGUUUAUCAUCUAGAAUUCCUUCAGGAAUCACAAUUACAAUCGCAACAAUCAGUUGAACCCAAGGCUUCUCCCAGGAUUCCUGGUAACUAGGGUGUGUCAGUAAAGCUGGGCUCAUGGAUGCCUAUCUGACACGCUUACUGUGGACAUGAACUCAACCACUGCACAUGCUUGUAGUGGAUGCGGUGGUGUGCAGCUCCCAUCUCCCCUCCAGGACUCAGGCACUCAUUCGCCCGGCUGCCAGGAGUGCUGGCUUUUGUUGUCUCACAGAUGAGUCUGUCUUUGGGAAUCCCUCCCUUAGCAGAAGAGAGCUGCCCUGCCCAAGGCCCUACCCCCUCUGCAGUUGGGGUUUGGGGGGCAGCACGCAUCCUGUGGCUGGCUGGCCCCUUGCCUUGUCUAGACAACUCUGACAGCAGUCCAUGGGAUUGCUGAAGGCCUUUAUUGCAACUGAAUCAUAAUUCAAUUUCUCCCUCUAUGGAAUCCUUUUUCUCUUCUUUAUAGGUAUUGAUCCUAAAAGCACUCCCCAGUAAAAGUCCUGCAUGUAAAUCUCCACCUCAGACCCUGUUUCUCAGGUAAUCAUUCUUAAAACCACUGGUGCUAGGAAUGGUCCGAGGAAGGAGACUCUAAAAUGGAAUCUGGAACUGGGUCAUCAGCUGACCAGCCAGCAGGGAGGACACCAUAACUAGGGGUGGGUGGGUGGAUUACCUACAGCCCCUGGUAGGCUGUAACUAUGCAAUUGUUGCAACAUUCGCUGUGAUGUAACUGCUGGAAGGCAAUGCAUUGGCAAGUCUAGUAUCUGAGAUAUCUAGGGGUUCAGGGGAAGUGGUAAUUGUAAGUACAAUAGAAUUGGAUGGCUGUUUCUGAGUGCUAUAAAAUGAAUUAGAGAAAGGGGAUGAAAGGAUACAAUGAUUAAUUACCAAUUUAAGGCUAAGUGUGAAAGCCAGAGGGCCUAUGGCAGUUUAUAAAGAGCUUCUCAUCUCCCGCAGCCAGAAGUAGAAAAAAGCCAGGAUCAAGCCUAGAACUUAAUUAUAAGGCCAGGAGGGCUCCAGAGAAGGUUAAAAUUUUCAAUCCUAGUAAGUGUGCUAUGCCAAGGUCAGGACCCUGACUAGGAAGGAGUGAGAUGCUGAGACUUGGAAUAAGGAUCUAUGUGUUCCUGCACCAAAAAUCUCGAAUCUUCAGAUUCCCCUCAACCCUCUGGGCCCGCUGCUCCCUAUUAAAAGCUAGUGCUACCCUUGCUUGAAGAGAGUGCAGGAGCUUUUUCUUGCAAGAUAGUGUGUUCUUAACUCAGGGUUGAUCCCAACUCCAUUCCUGGACACUAGGCCAGUAAAUAGAAUGGGGAUCAGCAACUGCAGUCUCCUGGCCAAAUCCAGCCUGCAGUCUAUUUUGGUAAAUAAAGUUUUAGUGGAAUACAACCACAUCCAUUCAAUGACACAUUGCCUAUGGCUGCCUUCAUGCUACAAUGGGAGAACUGAGUAGUCACGACAAAGUCCAUAUGGCCCACAAAACCAAAAAUGUUUACUAUCGGUUUCUUUACAGGCAAAGUUUGCAGACCCUGAACUAGAGUCAAGUACAAUAAAACUUGACAGGAGAAGUGCUGAUUGUGAUAAGGAAGGAAAAAAUAGACACCAAAGAAGACGCAAGACUGAGCCAGCAAGUACUAGCAGGAGUGGAAGAAUAUAUUAUGGGAUGAAUCCUGAAGGGCCUGGGUUAAGAAGGAUGCAAUAUAUAGUUGGAUACUGGAAACUUUAUCUAUGUGGGAGCACUCCCCUGAGAUAGAGAAUUUAGCACUCUUCUUGGUUGACUCUUGGGGUAUCUUUGUUGACUCUUUUCUUUCUUAGAAAUGCAAUGAUCAACUAUGUGGAGGAGAUAUGUGAGAAAUGCCUUAGCAGACGAUGAAGAAAGAGAUCAAAAGGCUCCGAGAAGCAGGAAUGCUAUGGUGGAUAUGCAGUCAGCUCUCUGUAUCUGUGGGUUCAUUCAACCUUGGACUGAAAAUAUUCAGCAUUUGGGAAAAAAGGGGCAUCCCAUACUCAACAUGUACAGACAUUUCUUUCCUUGUCAUGAUUCCCUAGUCAAUACAGUAUAGUGACUAUUUACAUAGCAUUCAUAUGAUAUUAGAUAUUAUAAGUAAUCUAGAGGUGAUUUAAAGUGUAUGGGAGGGUGUGUGUAGGUUAUAUGUAAAUCCUAGGCCAUUUUAUAUCACAGACUUGAGUAUCUAUAGAUUUUGGUAUCCAAGGUAGGUUCUGGAACCAAUCCUUUAUGGAUGCUGAGGGACAACUGUACACUGGUUCUCCCUAUCCAUGGUUUUGCUUUCCACAGUUUGGUUACCCCCAGUCAACUGUAGGCUGAAAAUAUUAAAUAGAAGAUUCCAGAAAUCAAUAAUUCGUAAGAUUUAAAUUGCACAUUGUUCUGAGUAGUGUGAUGAAGUCUUGCACUGUCCCCCCCAGGAUGUGAAUUGUCCUUUUGUCCAGUGGAUACACACUGUCUACACUUCCCUCCAGUUAGCCACUUCACCAUCUCGGUGAUCAGAUGGACUGUCGAGGUAUCGCAGUGCUUGUGUUCAAGGCACCCUCAUUUUACCUAACAAUGGCCCCAAAGCACAAGAGUGGUGAUGCUGGUGAUUCAAAUAUGCCAAAGGGAAGCCAUAAAGUGCUUCCUUUAAGUGAAAAGGUAAAAGUUCUUAAGGAAAAAAAAUUAUAUGCUGAAGUUGCUAAGAUCCAUGGUAAGAACAAAUUUUUUACCUGUGAAAUUGUGAAGAAGGACAAAGAAAUUUAUGCUAGUUUUGUGGUUAUACCUCAAACUGCAAAAGUGCCACAGUGCAUGUAUAGGAAAAAACAUCAUAUAUAUGGGGCUUGGUACUAUUCGUGGUUUCAGGCAUCCACCUGUGGGGUGGCCUUGGAACAUAUUUCCCACAGAUAAUGGGGGCCUACUGUACUUUGUAAGACUGAACAAUCUACCAGUUCACUGUAUUUCACAGGGGCACCCAGAAGGCAACCUUUUACCAAAGCUGUAAGAAAUGAGCUGGUGAGAGGGGCAAUGUGUGAAUGAGAAACUCAAUGGUGGCUACCCCCUCUAGGGGAGGGCUGAUACUGUAUAUUGUGCCGGGGUUCCAUAUAACUGGGAUGGUUCUAUAUAACAGCAAUGGGGUUCUAUAUAACAGCAAUGGGGAUGGUAAGAUCCCAGAUUGAUAGAGGCCGGGUGGUAGACCAUAGGUAGCAGACCAAGAAGGAUGCAAUUAUUAUCAUGAAUGGAAAGGUUGGAGUGGCAGCCAGGAGUCCUCACCCAAAGAGAGCUGUGGAGAUGGUUACUAGACCACAGUGUUAUUAAGGGCAAGAUACAGGGACACAUAAGAAUAAUGCCAACACUUCACUGAAGAGUCAUGGCCAAUUUCCAGAUCUGAGCCUGUCCUUUGACCCAGAACCUGUUGACUGGAGAGGCUGGUUUGAGGAAGGAGCCUGCUAUACUAUGGCAAGUGCAUAUGAUAACAGUUCCCCCAGUCUUUACUCAAAGGGAUCUGUGGCCACUUACUUGGGUAACUGUUCAAUGGGAAAAAGGGCAAUCCUAGAUAUUUCCAGGACUCUUGGGCACAGUCCAAUCUCCACUGGUAUUCAGGAAGUUUGGUUUCAUCCAGGCCCCUUGCUGAAGUGGGAGCUUAUGAAGAGUAAGAAAUAAGAAGUCCAGACCUAGUUGAUUUCACAAGGGAUUCUUUGGCUCCAUGGAUCCACCUGGUGGUCAUUUAUUCAGUUUCUGGAUGUAUAAUUGAAAUCCGUAGUAGUCAGCAGAAUCUUCUCAUUAGUUCCUUGGUUUGUAGGGCCAACCAGUAUGGUCUGUAGUGAAGAAGGCUACAUAGAAGCCUCUGAAACUUUCUUACCAUGGCCAAGAGAAUAAAUUAAAAAAAAAAAUCACAUCCAGGGGAAUGGCCAAGAAAUCUGGCACUCUAAACAUGCUCAACACUACAAGUAGUCCCCAUCAUGUCCCCAUUUAAUUAUCACUCUGUCCCCCUUCAGAACCAGGGGUCCUGAUAAUUGACAGUGGAUCUCCAUGAAGUCAAGUAAUUACUUAAUAUAUCUAUUACCACUACCAAAUGUCCAACCUGCCAGCAACAGAAACCAACACUGAGCUCUUCAACAAACACAGUCCCCAGAGGAGACUAACCAGCCACUUGCUAGCAACUUGAUCACAUCGGAUUCCUUUCAAUCUGGAAAUGGCAGUAAUUGGUUUUGACUGGAAUUGACACAUAUUUCAGAGAUGGCUUUACCUUUCCUACCCACAGGGACUCAGGCAGCAUGACCACCUGUAGGCUUAUAGAUUAUAUGAUAAACUGACAUGGAAUCCUGCAUAACAUGACUGUGGACCACUGGCCCCAUUUUAUAGCAAAAGAAGGACAACAAUGGACAUAUGAUGAUAGGAUAACACCAUCCAGAAACUGCCUAUCUACUAGAGGUUUUUGAAAGCACAGCUAAAGUGCCAGCCUGCAGGUGAUACUGUGUCCGGAAUUGGUGGGUUCUUGGUCUCACUGACUUCAAGAAUGAAGCCGCGGACCCUCGCAGUGAGUGUUACAGUUCUUAAAGGCGGCGUGUCUGGAGUUUGUUCCUUCUGAUGUUCAGAUGUGUUUGGAGUUUCUUCCUUCUGGUGGGUUUGUGGUCUUGCUGGCUCAGGAGUGAAGCUGCAGCCUUCGCGGUGAGUGUUACAGCUCUUAAGGCGGGGCAUCUGGAGUUGUCCGUUCCUCCCGGUGGGUUAGUGGUCUCACCGGCUUCAGGAGUGAAGCUGCAGACCUUGGGGGUGAGUGUUACAGCUCAUAAAGGCAGUGUGGACCCAAAGAGUGAGCAGCAGCAAGAUUUAUUGCAAAGAGUGAAAGAACAAAGCUUCCACAGUGUAGAAGCGGACCCAGCCGGUUGUCACUGCUGGCUCGGGCAGCCUGCUUUUAUUCUCUUAUCUGGCCCCACACACAUCCUGCUGAUUGGUUCAUUUUACAGAGAGCCGAGUGGUCUGUUUUGACAGGGCAGUGAUUGGUGCGUUUACAAUCCCUGAGCUAGACACAAAGGUUCUCCACGUCCCCACUAGAUUAGCUAGAUACAGAGUGUGGACACAAAGGUUCUCCAAGUCCCCACCAGAGUAGCUAGAUACAGAGUGUCCAUUGGUGCAUUCACAAACCCUGAGCUAGACACAGGGUGCUGAUUGGUGUGUUUACAAACCUUGAACUAGACACAGAGUGCCUAUUGGUGUAUUUACAAUCCCUUAGCUAGACAUAAAGGUUCUCUUAAGUCCCCACCAGUCAGGAGCCCAGCUGGCUUCACCCAGUGGAUCCCCCACCUGGGCCGCAGGUGGAGCUGCCUGCCAGUCCCGCGCCAUGCGCCCGCACUCCUCAGCCCUUGGGUGGUCGAUGGGACUGGGUGCCCUGGAGCAGGGGGCAGUGCUCAUUGGGGAGGCUUGGGUGCACAGGAGCCCACGGAGGGAGUGGGAGGCUCAGGCAUGGUGGGCUGCAGGUCCUGAGCCCUGCCCCGAGGGGAGGCAGCUAAGGCCGGCGAGAAAUCCAGCGCAGCGCUGGUGGGCCGGCACUGCUGGGGGACCCAGCACACCCUCUGCAGCCGCUGGCCCUGGUGCUAAGCCCCUCAUUGCCCAGGGCCGGCAGGGAUGGCCGGAGGCUCCGAGUACCGGGCGCGCCGAGUCCACACCCACCCGGAACUCGUGCUGGCCUGCAAGCACUGUGCGUAGCCCCAGUUCCUGCCCCACCUCUCCCUCCACACCUCCCGGCAAGCUGAGGGAGCCGGCUCCGGCCUCAGCCAGCUCAGGAAGGGGCUCCCACAGUGCAGCAGCCGGCUGAACGGCUCAAGUGCCGCCAAAGUGGGAGCCCAGGCAGAGGAGGCGCCGAGAGCGAGCGAGGGCUGUGAGGGCUGCCAGCACGCUGUCACCUCUCAAUAUGUUGUAAGGACAGGGUGGCAUUGAACCAAUGCCCGUUAUAUAGUGCUACGUCUCCAAUAGGUGGGAUUGAUGGCCUCAGGAGACAAUGACUGGGGCCUAGUGUGGUGGCUCACGCCUGUAAUCCCAGCACUCUGGGAGGCCAAGACUGGUGGAUCACUUGAGGCAGGAGUUUGAGACUAACCUGGCCAACAUGGUGAAACCCCAUCUCUACAAAAAAUACAAAAAUUAGCUGGGCAUGGUGGAGUGUGCCUGUAGUCCCAGCUACUCGGGAGGCUGAGGCAGAGAAUCACUCUAACUGGGAGGCGAGGUUGCAGUGAGCCAAGAUUGCGCCACUGCACUCCAGCCAUGUGACAGAGCGAGAAAAGAAAACAAUAAGAAAACAAUGAUUGGAAGUAGGUCUGGCUCCACCAGCAUUACUCCCAAAGACCUGCUUGAGGAAUUUGUGCUUGCUUGUCCUUGCACAUUUAGUCUCUCCUCGGUUCUCAUCUCCAAGGGGAGAAUGCUUCUACGAGGGAACACAAGAAUUCCAUUACACUUUAAGCUACAGCUGCUGUCCAGUUGUGAUCACAGCCACCCAGGUGACUCACUAGGUUGUCUCUUGGUACCCCCUUGCCAGAUCUUCAUUGUAAAUGAGCAAGUGCAGUAGCCAUGGCUGGAACUGGUUAUGCCACCAAGCCAUGCUUUCAUGGUAAGGCAGGGCUUAGGGUCUCCUGGGAUGAAAAUCAUGGUCAUCCCACCAGGUAAGCCCCCCAGACUACAGCAGUGCUGUUUAAAAGUGUGAUAGCAGAGGAGGGAGAUCAUGACACCAGAUGUAGUCACUGAAAGGGGCUGAGAUUUGUCCCAAUAACCUUCCUCUUACCAGUUUCCAAAGAAAAAUAGAUCGUUGAGAAUCCCAUGGAGCUAUUCUCAGAGGGGAUGAAGUUAUUACAUGAAGGAGGGAGGCUAAGGGUGGGGGCUGCAAUGCCAGGGGAGAUACACUCCCCGCAUGUUUCCUUCAGGAUCAAAGCAUUCAUUUCCAAGCAGUCAGAAGCAUUGGUUUCUCACUCCUGCAAAGGUACUCAUCCAUGAGUUCCUCUUGGGAUUGAGUCUUGGCCAAAAGGAGCUACUUCUUCCAAUACCCACUUCCGUGGGUAUUGGAUUUAUGUGAGAAUACAAGGGCCUGGCCCCCCUUGCCUAGAUUAUGAAAGCUCUGAAGGGCCUUUCUGCUUGGUCUUCUCGUGGUAUCUGUUGUGGCCUCUUGCAACCGCAUCACAGUUCUACUUCUCCGUGUGCCCAAUCCUGCUUCCCUCACCCCUCCCAGGUGCUGUUUCUGAGAACAUUCCCCAGUAAAGCUCCUGCAUGUAACUUUCCAUCGCAGAGUCUGGUUCCUGGGAACCUGUCCUGAGAGUGUGACCUGCUUUAAGCAUCUUAUAAAUGCCUCUUAUUUUCCUAAUUGUUAUAAUUCUGGGGUUAAAAACAAACCAGUGAUUAAGUGUAAAUAAUUUUUCCCUCACAAACUGAAAAUUAAAAUAUUCAGUAGUUUCAUUCAGCUGAAAAUAUUUUAUUGGACACAAAGGGCUUUGUUUCUUUGGGGAGUCAACUCCACAUAGCAUCUUCCCUUUAAUGAGCUUUUGGCAUUUCAAUCAUUUAUUUUUAAUCAAGUUCUAAUCCACUGUUUAGUUAGAUAUUUCCAAAGUAUUUUUACAAUGUAGUAUGUUUUUAAAAUUAGGUCUCCAUCUGUCAUUAUAUGGAAUGUGUGUGGGCAUUAGUGAAUGGACUUAUUUUUACCCUCUGAAUGCUAUUAUCUUGCUUAACCAUAUCCCUGGAAAGAAAUGUCAUUACAAGUGAUCUUUUCUUCCAUUUACUCACAAUUAAUUUUGCUUUGUUUUGUGAUCCACAGUUUCAGUUUUCGAAAAACCAAAUCAGCACCUUAACCUGUUUAAAGAGGAGCACAGAAAAUUGUUCUGCAGAAUUUAUGUUCUCUUUCCAUCUCCAAAUUAUUUCAUUGCCACAACAAAGACAUGCUCACUGAGCAUAUCACAGACCUCUUCAUUCUGAAUUUCUUAGAUUGAUAGUUUUGAUGCUCCUUCUAUUAAUACUUAAAUUGAUGAUGGUGUAAGGUGCCAAAAAAUGUAGAAGAUGAUCAAUCUUUUAUUUUAAUCAUCAAUUUCAAAACUAAUCAGAUAAUAUUGGAGCGAUUCCAUUUAAAAUGCAGAUUGGAAAUCAGCAUAUAACAUAUGGAGUAGGAUUUUCUCACAUUUUUUUUUACAGUUAUUUAUUCCAUAUCUUUCUAGUCCUGGCAUAUAUGGGAUUUCAUUUCUAUAGGUUUUGAUGUACUCAUAUGCAUCAUUUUUUAGGGUUUUUAAAAAUUUUAUUAUGGAAUGUUCCAAACAUACAGAAAGUAGAGAGAAUAGGAUAAUGAACCUUUAUGGACUCAUCUCUCAGCUUCAGCAGCUGUCAACAAUUUGCAACUCCUGUUUCAUCUAAUCAUCUCCGCCUCCUCUCUCCCUCCCACCACAUACAAACACACAGACACACACACACACACACACACUUUUUUUUCCUGGAAUAUUUGAAGCAAAUACUAGAUAUCAUAUUAUUUUCUUUGUAAGUUCUUUAUAUACAUUUAAGCAGCCAGACUUUAAAAAAAAACCACCUAGGUAUUAUCAUACCAAACAAAUAACACAAAUAUCAAAAAUAUUCUAAUAUCAAUUCAUAUUCAAAUGUCUUUAAUUGUCUGAAAGUUGUUCUUUUACGGUUGGCCUAUUCGAAUAAUAUUAAUAAUAAUUUCUCUUAGCUAUUUCAGUCUACAUUGUCCCUCCUCCUCACUCCUCAAUUGUUUUCAUGCCAUUGAAUUUGUUAGAAAAAUCAGAUUAUCCUUUAGAUCUACAUCUAGAUUUGCGUAAUUGUUUCUCUGUGAUGUUUUUAACUUGUUCCUCUGUUUUUUUCUAUUUCCUAUAAACUGAUAGUUAGGUCUGAGCCUUAAAUCGAUUAAGGUUAAAAUGCUUUUUAGAUUAUAAUAUUUCUGAUGCUAUGUACUUCCUGUGGAAUCAUACCAUGAACUCAUGACAUCUGUUUGCUCCACUUUUGGUAAUGCCAGGAAUCAGUCCUGGUGAUGUCAGGAUGCUCCAUCCUCUAAAAGUCUCCCACAAGUAUUUCACCUGUGAUUUUAACAUUCACUGACGACCAUUGACAGAUCCAGGGUUUCAUGAGGGAUUGAAAUGGCAAUUUUCUUAAUCUGUCCUUCCUUCUGCAUUAGUUAUCCAUAAUUCUUCGAUAAAGACUUAUCCUCAUCAAGUAUUUGGCUGCCCUGAAUUACAAUUUGUACAAGAAAGGAUAAAUUCUUGAUUCUUUCUAUGUAUUUAUCAAUUUUCAGAGUAAUGAGUUGGUGCUCUCAUAAGUAAGUUUUAAAAAAGUAUCAUUAUGAACUCAUUGAUUUUUAUGUUUAAUGAUUUAACGGAGAGUGAUUAUUAUUCUUUUGGGUAGCCGCAUUGUGUCAUUUUGGGAUCUUUUUCAUUUGCUUCCUUUUGACGUGACCUAUUUAGUCUUUAGUAGCUUCUUGCUUUCCUGCAUCUCAAAAUGUCCCAGGCUCAUCUCGUACAUUUCAGAUUCCAUGUAGAUUCCCAAAAGGUGACUUACUGAGCCAAAAGGAAUAAGUAUUUUUAAGGUAGUUUGACUUAGUGGAAACAGUAUGGUCUUUGAAAGUAGGUAGGUCAGGGUUACAGUCUCAGCUCCAUUGCUUAUGAGCUCUGGGGUUUAGAAAAGGCUUAACCUCCCAAAAUGAUGAUAAUAGGAACUCCUAUUAGGAAGAGAAAGGUAAUAACAGAAAAUUAUUUUACUCUAGUGUAAGUGGAAAAAGCAGAGUUCACAAUGAUAUAAAAUGCAUAAAGAAACUAUUGUGAUCAAAUAUGCUGCAAUGUUGAUGGCAUCAUCUGAUGGUGGGAAUACAGGUUAUAUUUCUCUUUUUUAUGUCUUAUACUGUAUUUUUCUACAUAACAAAGAAUAUAAAAAAAAAAGAUAAGUUUGUUCAAAGAAAAAUAAGCCUGUACUGCAAAUCCUAUAGUGUUGAUUAAAAUUCAUUUAAGAUAUGAUUCAUGGCAUAUACCUUUUGUAUCUCUGAUGGUCAAUUGAAUCCACUUGUCCUUUAACAAAAUUUAAUGCAAAUUCUGUAAUAAAGAAAAAUAUUGAUGUAAGUAUACUCUGCCAUCUGCUUCCUUUCUCUAUGCCAUGCCAUAUUGAUUUCAAUAGACCAGGUCAAAACUGAGUGUUUCCUGCUUUCAAGGUUGACCUCUGAAGGUCUCCUACUGUUUCGUCUCCUUGCUCCCUGGGGAGAGCCGCUAAGUCUUUCGUUGACAGCUGAAGGCAGGAUAAAAUAAAAUCUCCAUUUGACAUGCUUAUAAAUCAGUUUUCCUAUGGGACAAGAUUGUUGGUGUUGGGUGCUCAUUGAAAAUAGUCUUACUGAUCAGAAAACUAAGACAAUUGGUUCUUUAUUCACCUGAGGAUUCAGAUUGACUAAUCGAAGAUGAAUUCAUCUUGUAAUCUUUUAAAAAUAUGACAAAUGAUUAAAAAAACUUUUGUGGAAGAUGUCUGCAGAAGUUUCUAAUUUAAGAUUCAAUCUUAUUUUCAGAAAUGAUAUUUUGAUCUUGGGCUUGAGGGUCAUAAUUUCCUCUUUAAAAUGGACAUUAAAAUUCAGCACACAUUUGGAGUACAAGGAAGGGUGAUGAUCACAGAUAAAUUUUUCUUAUAAUUUUUUUCUAUUUGAAUAUAUCUUAUUUCAAAAGAGAAUUCUUGCUUUUAAUUUUGGAUACAGUGUAGGCUAAAUCCAACACUGUGGCAUCUUGACUACGGUGGCCUGCUCAAUUAAUUCUGAACAGUAAAUUGCCUUUGACAGGUCUUCAGGUAGCUGGGUAAGAAGCGGCAAGGAAAACAAAGGGUCCUGGUAAUUGAAAACAACUGGUAAGGAUUGUUUUCUUUUUCUUUUCCUUCAUGUUCUUCCUAAUUGAUGUGCUGAUUUGUAUAUGAACCUACAGAUGAGUCAAACCUAAGCAUUCAGCAUUGGGAGCCCUGUCACUAAAACUGCAGCCUCAUUCAACAACACAUCCUUAUCGAGCACUUGCAGGUACUUCAUUGAAUGUUAGAAAUGCAUUGAUGAUGGAGACACAGCACCGGCUCACGAGGACCUUCCAGCCUAGGCAGCAGGACUGGACAUACGCACUUUGGUAGAUUUAUUUUUAGAAAUUGGCUUAUGCAGGUGUGGGGCUGGCAAGUCUAACAACUGCAGGGCAGGUCAGGAGGCUGGAGACCCAGGGAAGAGUUGAUGCUGCAGUCUAGUCUGAAGGCAGUGCAGAGGCAGAAUUCCCUCUUUCUCGGAGGAUCUCAGGCUUUUUCUCCUAAGUCCUUCAACCAAGUGGAUGAGGCCACCCGCAUUAGAGAAGCUCUCUGGAUUCUGAAGACCAGGGCUCCAAUUCACAGUGUCCAUUAAUCCAGGAGCCACAAAGGCAAGUGCUUAUUUGCAUAGAAAUAGAAUGCUAAUCAGGUGCAGACAAAGCUCAUCAGAAUCAAGACAGCUGUCAGGACAACACCCUUCUGAAGGUGCCCAGACAAGGCGAGCAGAAGCAGGAGAAAUUAAAUUUAGCUGGAGUAGUGGAGUGCUAUCAGUUAUCGGCGGCCCCAGGCACAUUAAAUGGCAUCUGGCUUCUGAGUGCUUAGCAGGGGAGCUCUUAUCGCUCCAGUCCUGGAAUUUGGAACCAUUUUCUGUUAGAGUAGAGGGAUUAAAAGCAAUGUCUGGGCCUGAUGGACAGUGGUGAACAGCCAGCCACAUGGUGCUGUUUAUUGUUGGUGGAUAAGGAGUCUUGGCCGAGUGAAGCCAGGAGGCUGAGGUAGGGAGAUUCUGAAUCACCAGCAGACUACCAAGGUCACGCAGGAAAGUCUGGCCGACUUCUCUGUAGCUAAGUUUUCAUCUUCAUUUUGUGAACAGUUAUCAUCUGACUCAUUAUUAGAAUAAAAUGCAAUAAGGUGGCAACAGCCCUUUGGAAAAUUAUAAAUACCCUUGACAUGAGUUUGAACAGUGAUCAUCCACUUAGAUGAGAAUUUUCUUCUACCUCUGUUACCCAUGAGACAGCAAGACCAGCACCUCUUCUCCCUCCUCUUCCUGCUCAGCUGACUCAAGGUGAAGACAACAAGGAUGAAGCCCUUCAGGAUGAUCCACUUCUACUUAGUGAAUAGGACGUAGAUUUUCUUUUCUGUGUGAUUGUCUCAAUAACAUUUUCUUUUCUCUAGUUUAUUGUCAAGAAUGCAGUAUAUAAUAUAUAUAAAGUAUAAAAUAUGUGGUUAACUGACUGGUUGUGUUACUGGUAAGGCUUUGGUCAACAGUAGGCUAUUAGUUAAGUUAUUGGUGAGUUAAAAGUUAUACGUGGAUUUUCUAGUGUGCAGAGGGUUAGCCCCUUAGCCUCCAUGUUGUUCAAGGGUGAAUUGUGGUGUGAAAGUUGUCAUAACAAAAAUGGAGUUCCUCGUGUCAAACCCUAGCAAAUGGAGCUGGGGAAGGCCAUGGAGGGCUCUCAUGCACAAUUUUCCUGAUAAUGGGAACUAUCACAAGAAAUGUUUUCAAACUGCAGCUUACUACAUGAGUCACUCAGGGCAAGUUAGCAGCACAAGGACGGCUAGCCACUUAUACAAGAACACCUGCUUGUUUCAAAAACUGUCUCAUAAGCCCAGUUUAAAACUACAAGGGCUUAAACAUAACUCCAAGAUUACAAGUCCAACCUAGCAACUGCUGACACUUGUCAAUCAGAAUUUGCCAGCUCUCGUUAGAUGAUGCCAACACCAACGAGCUUUCUUUCAAAACAACUUGUAUACCCUCCUCUCUCCCUAGUAAAACUCUAACUUUCCUUUGUUUUCUGGACAUACCAGAGACCACACUGGUCUCUGUAUCUGUCCGAAAUUGUAAUCCUAUUUCUUUGUUUAUUCCUAAAUAAAUCCUUUUUGCUUGGA